rnacentral:misc_RNA from 1 species
GGCAGCCGCGGUAAUUCCAGCUCCAAUAGCGUAUAUUAAAGUUGUUGCAGUUAAAAAGCUCGUAGUUGAAUUUCGGGAUUGACACAUCGGUCGUGCCUUAAGGGGUAUGAACUGGUGUAGUCAAUUUCUCACCUUCUGGAGAACCGCGAUGCCCUUAAUUGGGUGUCGCGGGGAACCAGGACCUUUACUUUGAAAAAAUUAGAGUGUUUAAAGCAGGCAUUUUGCUUGAAUACAUUAGCAUGGAAUAAUAAAAUAGGACGGCAUGAUUCUAUUUUGUUGGUUUCUAGGAUCACCGUAAUGAUUAAUAGGGAUAGUUGGGGGCAUUAGUAUUCAAUUGUCAGAGGUGAAAUUCUUGGAUUUAUUGAAGACUAACUACUGCGAAAGCAUUUGCCAAGGAUGUUUUCAUUAAUCAAGAACGAAAGUUAGGGGAUCGAAGACGAUCAGAUACCGUCGUAGUCUUAACCAUAAACUAUGCCGACUAGGAAUCAGACGAUGUUAAUUUUUAAUGUACUCGUUUGGC